rnacentral:rRNA from 1 species
AGUGAACGCUGGCGGUAGGCCUAACACAUGCAAGUCGAACGGCAGCACAGUAAGAGCUUGCUCUUACGGGUGGCGAGUGGCGGACGGGUGAGGAAUACAUCGGAAUCUACUUUUUCGUGGGGGAUAACGUAGGGAAACUUACGCUAAUACCGCAUACGACCUACGGGUGAAAGCAGGGGAUCUUCGGACCUUGCGCGAUUGAAUGAGCCGAUGUCGGAUUAGCUAGUUGGCGGGGUAAAGGCCCACCAAGGCGACGAUCCGUAGCUGGUCUGAGAGGAUGAUCAGCCAAACUGGAACUGAGAAACGGUCCAGACUCCUACGGAAGGCAGCAGUGGGGAAUAUUGGACAAUGGGCGCAAGCCUGAUCCAGCCAUACCGCGGGGGUGAAGAAGGCCUUCGGGUUGUAAAGCCCUUUUGUUGGGAAAGAAAAGCAGCAGGUUAAUACCCCGCUGUUCUGACGGUACCCAAAGAAUAAGCACCGGCUAACUUCGU